UGAAAACUGAGUGAGGUUAAUUUUCUAUUUAGCUUAAGUCACAGUAUUGUGUUUAGAAGUGUUUCUGUAUUCACAACUCACUUUAUUGGGCUCACCUGUUGCCAUAAUUAGUGAGAAUUUCGGCAUGCAGAUGUGGUGAAAACGACUUCCUGAAGAUCAAACCCAGCUCAAGAAUGAGGAAUAAUAGGGCUAAUUGUGACUAUGUUGGAUUGUGUUGAGAAAUUGAUCAUAUAAAUGGGAUUUCCAUGUGCUGCCGUCUUUUAGGUUUACAGAAAAUGGUGUACAAAAGAGAAAAUAUGACUUGGAAAAAUCCCUUGUUGAUAUUAGAGAUCAGAGAGGAUUUUGGAGACUAACAAUAUAGAUAUCAAAGUUUGCUGAAAACCAUCUCUAAAAGCUCAAAACAAGAAGCAGAGGGGCUGCAACAGCAGGAGAUCUCACCGGGUUCCACUCCUAUCAGCUAAGAACAGAAAGAUCAACGUUGAACUUCGUUUGAAGAAGCCAAGACCCCAUCAAACUACAUGGUUCCUGACUGUGAAGCAGAUCCUACUCUACCUGGGAUCUGCAACAUCUUCUAACAGAUGUUAUGGCGAGAUGCAGGUCUUCAUCUGUUGCUUGGCUUGGCUUCAAAAGAGUGACUUUCUCACCGUCCUAAUCUACGACUGUGUGGUGGGAAACGUCCAAAACGGCGCCACAACAUGCCAGCGUCACCUGCUUCAAACUGACAGUGUCACUGUUUGCAGUCAUCUUACUUUCUGGACAAACACACAGGCCAACUCUCAAAACACCAAGAUCUGUGGAAGCCACACGGAACACGCCGUGAGGUAUCACCAUGUCGGCUGCAAGAAGCCACCGUUUGCAGAGAUUCAGCUGUUGAUUUAUGGGGUUUGCUGCUCACCAUGAAAAGCAGCGCCCGAAGGGGGGCAGAGGGUCUUUGUAAGAACUUAUCUGUGUGUAAUUUAUCACACUACCACUCCCCCACCAACUCUUUAUUUCAUGGACUGACCUGUGAGCUGGAUUUCAAACACAGGCCCUGGGCAAAACGGAAACUGGGGUAUAGAUGUGAAAAAUGGAUGGACCCCUGUUGGGUUUUCUUUUUAAAUAUAGGGGACAUGGUUCUCUGCCCAGGGAUUCGUGACCUUUUGGACACUAAAGAAAAAAAAAAGUUAAUACUUGGUCAGUUUAUUUAAAUAAUAAAAAAAUAGUCAAACAUUUAUUUGCAUUGUGCAAGAACUCCAAGAAAAGUAGAUUAGGGCGUGGGAAAGUCUCUCUGGACAAUGGAGAUGGCCCUUUUCUGUUCCAACAUGACUGUGCACUAAUUCACAAAGCAAGAUCCAUAAGAAAAAAGACGGGUGAUUUUAAUGUGGAAGCAGAUGACUGCACAGUCUUGACUUCAACUCAGAAGAAUACUUUUGAGCGAAAUUAAAGACAAGACAGUAAACCAGCUCUUUUUUGUCAAACCUUAGUGUCUUACUGAUGGAUGACUGUUCAAACAUUCCCAUAAAUGCACUCCUCCUAUAUCUGGUGGAAAGAGUUGAAACUGUUAUCUCUGCAAUGGGUGGGCUGACAUGACAGUUCAUGUCUAUGUAAAGGAAAGUGACCCAACACUUUUGGCAAUGUAGUGUAUAUCUAAGCUAUUUUUGUGUCUGUGUGUGUGUAUUUGAGUGUGAGGCAGCAGAAGGAUUCCUGCAAAGACCAGCACCGACACCCAGACUUGGGCUUGUUUUACUCCUUGAUUGCUGAUGAGUACAACUGACCUAUAAGCCACAAAGUGAUGAAGUUGUCUUGGUGGUCUGUGUGUGCUUAUUACUGGGAAUAAAGCAAUAGGCGUCAAGAGGGAGCCGUUCUUCUCAGCCAGCAGAGCUCCAAAUGAGCCCAUCUGAAUCAUCAUUAUGUGCAUAAAUAUCUGUUCAUCAAAACCAAUUUAGCGUGAGAAAUGGAACGGCGGCUCUGAUUCUUGAUUUUGGGUUUUGCUAGUUAAAAAUCAAUUUAGCCAACAUUACGGAUGUGUUUAAUCUUUUAUUAAUAAGUCCAGAUAUUGUCUUGUUUCACUGAAUGGCUUCACAAUUUCCACUGUUCAUUUGCCCCGAGAACCCAAAUGAUCAAACUUCCAUUUAAUCUUGGAAAAUCAUCUGCUAUUGUCUGAUUAAGUUUAUCUGCAGAUACCUGUUUGAAGAGAUUAACUGGCAUUUAACCAUGUUUUAUCUGGCCGCAGACGCUGGAGUAACAAUGAGGCAAUUACGAGGCAGUCUCAAGCGUUAAUGUGAAAUAUUAUGCAGAGAAAGGGAGCAGCUUGUGUAGCAUCAAGCAGCGGAGAUUAGAUAUUGAACAGACUGAGUGUGUCUGCAGUGUGGCCUCAUUCACUCCAUCCACCGUCAUUCUUGAUUCCUCACCUUGUCCCACUAUGAAUAAAACAAGCUUGUUUUGAA